rnacentral:rRNA from 1 species
CAGCCGCCGCGGUAAUACCGGCGGCUCGAGUGGUGGCCGACUUUAUUGGGCUUAAAGCGUCGUAGCUGGGUUAUUAAGUACCCUUGGGAAAUCCGACAGCUUAACUGUCGGGCGUCUAAGAGAUACUGGUAAUCUUGGAACCGGGAGAGGUGAGGGGUACUUCGGGGGUAGGAGUGAAAUCCUGUAAUCCUCGAGGGACCACCUGUGGCGAAGGCGCCUCACCGGAACGGCUUCGACAGUGAGGGACGAAAGCUGGGGAGCAAACCGGAUUAGAUACCCGGGUAGUCCCAGCCGUAAACGAUGUGCGUUAGGUGUAUCGGUGACCACGAGUCACCGAGGUGCCGAAGGGAAACCGUGAAACGUACCGCCUGGGAAGUACGGUCGCAAGGCUGAAACUUAAAGGAAUUGGCGGGGGAGCACCACAACAGGUGGAGCCUGCGGGUUUUUAAAAUUGGACUCAACGCCGGAAAUCUCACCGGAUAAGACAGCAGAAUGAUUGCCGGGCUGAAGACUCUGCAUGACUAGCUGAGAGGAGGUGCAUGG